rnacentral:rRNA from 1 species
UACGAAGGGGGCUAGCGUUGCUCGGAAUCACUGGGCGUAAAGGGUGCGUAGGCGGGUCUUUAAGUCAGGGGUGAAAUCUUGGAGCUCAACUCCAGAACUGCCUUUGAUACUGAGGAUCUUGAGUUCGGGAGAGGUGAGUGGAACUGCGAGUGUAGAGGUGAAAUUCGUAGAUAUUCGCAAGAACACCAGUGGCGAAGGCGGCUCACUGGCCCGAUACUGACGCUGAGGCACGAAAGCGUGGGUAGCAAACAGG